CGUAGGUGGCAAGCGUUGUCCGGAUUUAUUGGGUUUAAAGGGUGCGUAGGUGGUCUAUUAAGUCAGUGCUGAAAUAUCCCGGCUUAACCGGGAGGGUGGCAUUGAUACUGAUGGACUUGAGUGAAGUCGAGGUAGGCGGAAUUGACGGUGUAGCGGUGAAAUGCUUAGAUAUCGUCAAGAACACCGAUAGUGUAGACAGCUUACUAGGCUUUAACUGACACUGAGGCACGAAAGUGUGGGGAUCAAACAGGAUUAGAUACCCUGGUAGUCCACACUGUAAACGUUGAUGACUCGCUGUUGGCGAUACACAGUCAGCGGCUUAGAGAAAUCGUUAAGUCAUCCACCUGGGGAGUACGCCGGCAACGGUG
rnacentral:rRNA from 1 species